AACGGCCGCGGUAUCCUAACCGUGCAAAGGUAGCAUAAUCAUUUGCCCAUUAAUUGUGGGCUAGUAUGAAAGGGUUAACGAAAUAAAAACUGUCUCAAUUAAUCACCUAAAAACUAUUCUCUACUUGAAGAAAAGUAGAUUACCUCGAAGGACAAGAAGACCCUAUAGAGCUUAAUUUUAAUUAUAGAGCACACACUAUAAAAAUAUUCGGUUGGGGCGACCCAGGGCUAACUAAUCACCCACAAAAAAAAAGAUAUAUAAAUCAAAUAAAUGACCCUCAUAGAUCAAAAGACCAAGCUACCUUAGGGAUAACAGGCUAAUCCCACUUAAGAGUCCUUAUCAACAGUGGGGUUUGGCACCUCGAUGUUGGCUUAGG
rnacentral:rRNA from 1 species